GCAGGCUAAUGGCCUUGUGCAAAGAGGGUGUUUUUAAACACCUGGGAUUUCCAAUACCUGAUCACUGAAGGACAUCCACCUGAAAGGGAAGGUCACCUAUGAGAAGACCCAGAAGGUUUCUCCAGCCUUUGAUUUCUAUCAUGCUGCCUGACAGUCCACCAGUAGAUGAACCUGCAAAGUCCCAGACCUUCUCCCCACUUCUGUAUAAAAUCUCCAUUUCAGGAUGGCAUCUCUGAGGGUCACUUGCCUACAGAAUGGAGCUGUCAACACCUGCCCUGCCCUCCUUAAAUAGUUGGAAGGAAGACCUAAUGAGACACAUAGACUGUUAAGGAUUGUACACAUCUAAGGAAUUAUUCUCUUUUAGUUCUCAGAAGCUUCAGGAAGGGAGAGACUGUUUUAUCAAUGAUGGUCUAUAAAGCAACCAUCUCUUGAGGAUAACAAUAUUAACUUUUCUAGGCAUCAAGGGGAUCUACAUAGGCUGAAACCACCCCUGGUUUAGCUUUAGUCCCCAUGGCUGGCCCAUGACUCCUGGGCUAUCUUGUGCCCUCUAUUCUGGGCUAUCUCAGGGCACAAGAGGAUGAUUCAGAGGUACCAGACUCUGUAUCCUUCUUGGUCUGGACCCCUGAUACAGUUGUGUCCAAAAGAAGGUGGAGGCAUUUCUGUCUGUAUCCCUUUGUGUGAGGCACAGCUAUGUCACUUAGAAGCAGUUAGGUAACUCUCCACACCCUAGCCCCACCCCACUUCACAUUCCAGCUUCAGUUUACACAAAGCCUGGGCUACACCCCUCUCAUCAGGCUGGCAGCAUGCACAGAUUGGGUUUCUCCACUGCCCUAUCAUUAGAUCCUAAUCCUGCCUGUUUCUCACCAGUCUCCUUUCUCACCUUAAUCCCUCUAAUGUGAAGCAUCCCAGUUGCUUCUGGGGGCAUCAGAGGUUUGGCUGCAGGGAAGUAAGGAAGGGUUGCUGAUCCUCCCAGAAGCUGUGGACCUUCAGAG
rnacentral:lncRNA from 1 species